ACCCCCUGCACUUACCUCAAUUCCCCUGAACUCACCUCAGCCAUCAUUCCUCCCUACACUCACCCCGGGAUCUACCUAUCCUUGUACCCACCUAAGCCCCUAUGCACCCACCACAGCCCCUAUGCCAACUCCACCUACCAUAGCUCCUAUGCCUUCCAGUACCCACCACAGCCCCUAUGUCCCUCCCUGUGCCUGCCACAGCCCCUUAUCUACCCGCAUU